AUGAACCCUCCUCCAGCUUUAGUGACUAUGAUGCUGUUCAUGCUUGGGAGGAUCCAUGGAGACUCAGUGACACAGAAACAAGUUCAAGUGACCCUCUCAGAAGGCAAUUUUCUAUUGAUAAACUGCACGUACUCAGCCACAGGGUACCCAACUCUCUUCUGGUAUGUUCAAUAUCCUGGAGAAGGCCCCCAGCUCCUCCUGAAAGUCAUCACAGCUGGCGAGAAGGGAAGCAGCAGAGGGUUUGAAGCCACAUAUGAUAAAAGAACCACCUACUUCCAUUUGCAGAAAGCCUCAGUGCAAGAGUCAGACUCGGCUGUGUACUACUGUGCUCUGGGUGAACCAGUGGCAGGGGGAGCUGAGCACAAACCCUGA